rnacentral:rRNA from 1 species
UACAGAGGUCCCAAGCGUUGUUCGGAUUCACUGGGCGUAAGGGUGCGUAGGCGGCCGGGUAAGUCUGAUGUGAAAUCCCGCAGCUCAACUGCGGACUGCAUCGGAUACUCUCCGGCUAGAGGAAUGGAGGGGAGACUGGAAUUCUCGGUGUAGCAGUGAAAUGCGUAGAUAUCGAGAGGAACACCAGUGGCGGAAGGCGAAGUC